rnacentral:rRNA from 1 species
UACGGAGGGGACUAGCGUUGUUCGGAAUUACUGGGCGUAAAGGGCGCGUAGGCGGUACUUCAAGUCAGGCGUGAAAGCCCCGGGCUCAACCUGGGAACCGCGCUUGAGACUGGAGAACUAGAGUUCGGGAGAGGAUGGUGGAAUUCCCAGUGUAGAGGUGAAAUUCGUAGAUAUUGGGAAGAACACCGAUGGCGAAGGCAGCCAUCUGGACCGACACUGACGCUGAGGCGCGAAAGCGUGGGGAGCAAACAGG